AUCCAAACCACAACCAAUAGUAAGAUAGUUAGGGUUCCACUCCGGACAACUUGAGAGAGCAUAGGCCCAUUGAAUUCUCAGUAAAUGAUGCAUAUUGUGCCCCUGCAGAUGAAACAAUCAUAACUGAAGUUCAACCAAUGUUUUGGGAUGAUGAAAAUAUUUCCUUCCAGAGAGGAAAUAUUUCCUUUCUUUCCUGAGAGGAAGAAGACCAUUCAAGGUCAACAACAUAUGUGACAGCCCUCAAGAAUGAGAGUAGAGAACAUUCCAGAGCAUCACUGUGACCAUCACAUAUGGUACAUCUGAAAAUUGAGGCCCAAGCAGGAUGUGUUCUUAUAUACCAUGGUAAAAAAGGAAUUAGAAAAACCUCCAGGAGGCUAACGGAUGUGAGGGAAGGAUUUCAGGCAAGUCAAUAAUAUGCUCAAAUUUAAUUGUAAGGAUUCAGUCUAGCAUCACAGAUGAGGGAUGAAUUGAGGAAGAGGCAAGUCUUGCUCCCAGAGACUGCUAAAAGACUUGAAGUAACAGAAGCAACAAGCAAUGAGGUUUUGAGGACAGAAAGUACAUAGGAUACUUUCAAGGAGAAAAAGUUGCCUGGACUUGAUGAUCAGUUGGCUUUUGCUGGGUGGAGAAAAUGCAGAAAUAUAAAAUGCCUCCUAAAUUUCUGAACUAGAUCCCUUGGGCAAUGUGCCUUCUACAAAGAAAGAUGAGAAAGAACAGUUUUGAAAUACAUAAUAAUAACAGCUGAAAUGCAUAGAGUUCUCACUUGCCACUCAUUAUACUGAAUUCUGUGUCAUUUCUUGUGUCAAAAACGAGUCCAGUUUUGGGAAGGAUGAGUUUGGGCAGCUCAUGACUAUCCAUGUCGAUAUCCUCACCAUCAGCUCCAGGGGAAUAUCUGAGUCUGCAGCUUAGAGGAGCUACUGGGAUUGGAAAUCAAAAUUUAUGACUUGUGAGGAUAAC
rnacentral:lncRNA from 1 species